UCGAGCUUCUGGGCUGCUUUGUUUGCCUAAGCAAGCCUGGGCAAUGGCGGGCUCCCCUCCCCCAGCCUCGCUGCCGCCUUGCAGUUUGAUCUCAGACUGCUGUGCUAGCAAUCAGCGAGACUCCGUGGGUGUAGGACCCUCCGAGCCAGGUGCGGGAUAUAGUGUCGUGGUGCGCCGUUUUUUAAGCCGGUCUGAAAAGAACAAUAUUCGGGUGGGAGUGACCCGAUUUUCCAGACUCAAGGAAAAUUCCUUAAAAGCUUUUGGCCAGGCACGGUGGCUCAUGACUGUAAUCCCAGCACUUUGGGAGGCUGAGGUGAGUGGAUCACAAGGUCAGGAAUUCAAGACCAGCCUGACCAACGUGGUGAAACCCGCAUCUCCACUAAAAAUACAAACAUUAGCUGAGCAUGGUGGCACAUGCCUGUAAUCCCAGACAUUCAGGAGGCUGAGGCAGGAGAAUUGCUUGAACCCGGGAGGUGGUGAUUGCAGUGAGCUGAGAUUGAGUCACUGUGAUCCAGCCUGGGUGACAGAGUGAGACUCUGCCUCAAAAAAAAAAAAAAAACACACACACACACACAAAAACACCUUCUUUCAACAACUGAGCAAGGUAUACUCCUAUGAACAAAAUUUCGAACAUGUUUAUUUCUCUCUGCCUAGUUCUUCUAAAAUUCAAAAACUAGUUAUGACUGUUUUUUUACUUACAACAGUAUAGUUGUUUGCAUCAGUGCAACAGGAAUUUAUUUUCUUUUGCAACAAGACACAAUUGAAAAAACUGGUUGUUUUACCAAGGCCUUGACUAGAUGGGUGUGUUUCCCUUUAAGGAAUCAAGCUUGGCUUGCAGAGCGGAUAAAAGCCGCUUGGGAAAACUGACCUCAUAUUUUGUCUACACAGUCUCUGUACAGGAUUCCUGACCUGUGGUGAGUAAAGAAUGUCACUUUCUAACAGGCCUAGGAAACCAAUGCUCCUGGAACUGCAAAAAAAAAAAAAAAAAAAAAGUUUACCCAACGCUCACAGGUAUUUGAAAAUACAAACCCAAGGCUAGCCUUGUUUUAAGGAGUUCUGCCUGAGAUUCCUUGUGGAACAGAGUUCCAUCAAUGCCAGUCAAAAAGGACUACAUAAAGGUGAUUAUUCUUGCUGCACUUUAUGCAAAUAAUUAUGCCAAGUAUAAUACUAAAGUCUAUUUUGCAAAUAGCCGUGUCCUAUCAUAAGUUGCUUUUAACAAAAAUGAGAACUGAAGAGAAAGAAAUUAUGUUUUAAAACUUAUCAUACAUUUAUCAUUAACUUCUAGUUUCAUUAGUUAUUUUUAAGUAUUUGUCUACAUUUUAAAAUAAUUGUGCUUAUUCCUAUGAGCCAACCAGGAAUCUCCAGCUAUAGCUCAGAGGUGACAGAAGGAUGGGGAAUGUAAAACUCUAGAUCAAUAUUCUGGCUCUGAGCAAUUGUUUUGCAGCUCCUUCUGGGUAAUGGGAACAAAUAUGAUGCCCAUAGCCCAGAAAUUUCCUUGAAAGAAAAAAAAUCAAGAAAGCUAACCAAAGCCAAGCCCUAUGCACCCAAAUCUUAGCAAGCCCAACUCUAGCCACUAGUUACGGGGACAUGUAAGCAGCCUUAACAUUUUUAAGCUGCUUUUACCCCCCUUGUCUCAUUUUAAUACAUGUCCUCUAAUAACCAAAAUUGUUUCUUUUCAUCUAGAGGCUAUCAAACUCCAAACAGUGAUGCAAAUGGAACCAUGCAUGAAUGCACCUUUCCAUGAAUGAAUAACAUGUAAGCCAACCUUGGGAGGAAUCCUAGCUGCUGUUCCUAACACAAUGCACCUCUCUAGCAAAAAGUAGCCAGAAAAAUCAAUGCUCUAGUUAGAUAACAAGGGAAGAGUCACGGAGAGUCCCAGGCUAAUGGGUCAGUGCCUCAUCCCCACAUAACAUAAAAAGCAGCCUGGGAAAUAAUUCAAGCUGCAGGCACCAAUAAGGAAACUUGCACAGGGUGUUGUGCCUGCAGACAGGUCCAUUACUGCACAGAUUGAAAAACCUCCAAACCCAUUUGGAUAUAAUUGUGCACAAACCUCCAGCUCACUCAGAGAAGGGAAUGCCUUUAUCUUUUGUAUAGUCAGCAGGCUCCCAGGAAAAUGUUUCUUCUUCUUUUGUGGUCAUGGGCACAGUGGACUCUGGUAGGUCCCAGUGGGCACCCUACUUUUAUUUAUUAGAACUAUAAGUUUGGCUUCUAUGAAUCAUCAUCUCAGCCUCUGAUUUGUCCUGAGCCAAGGUCCCAGGCCAAGCUUUCACAUCAACUUCUGAUAGGUCUUAGGCCAAGCUAAGCAGCAAUUAUGAAACAUCAUUUCACCUCCUCAUUGGUCCCAGGCCAAGGUCCUAGGCCAAGCUGAGUUGCACAUUUGCUAAAACAGCCUGCAGAGUAAGCGUACUCCUUCUCCUUCCCAGUCCAUGAAAACCAUGGACCCCACCUCAUAGGGGAUACUCCCAUUCAGGACCCCCUUUUUGUGCUGGCAGAGAGCUUUCCUCUUUCACUCGUUAAUCAUUCACUCUAACCUCACCUGUGUUUCCAUACUCCUUAAUCAUCUUGGAGAUAGGACACAAAACUCCAGACAUUAUCUUAGACAAUGUUGUGUUUCCAUUAUCAUGGUUCAAUAAAUUUUUUUAUUUCCUUCUUAAUUUCUUGAUUGACCAGCUGGUCAUUCAGGAGCAUAAUGUCUAAUAUUCAUGGGUUAUAUAGUUUCAAAAAUUCCUCUUUUUGUUGAUUUCUAGCCUGGUUUAUUGUGGCCAGAUAAGACACUUGAUAUUAUUUUAGCUCUGGAAUAUUUUAAGAAUUGUUUUGUGACCUAAUAUAUGUUCUGUCCUUGAGAAUGAUUCGUCUGCUUCUGGGAAGAAUGUGUAUUCUGCAGGCACUGGAUGAAAUGUUUUGUAAAUAUCUAUUAGCCGCAUUUGGCCUAUAGUGCAGAUUAAGUCCAAUAUUUCUUUGUUGAGUUUCUCUCUCAGAGAUCUGCACAAUGCUGAAAGUGGGGUGUUAAAGUGUCCAGUUAUUGUUGUAUUGAAGUCUAUUGCUCUCUUUAACUCUAAUAAUAUUUGCUUUAAUUAUCUGGGUGCUCUAGUGUUGGGUGAAUAUGUAUACUUGCAAUUGUUAUAUCCUGUUUCUGGAUUGACUCCUUUAUCAUUAUACUUUGUCUGUUUUUACAGUUUUUGUCUUAAAAUCUCUUUGUCUUAUAUAAAUAUAGUUAUAGUGAUCUGUUUCAGUUGUAAUGAAAUAUCUUAUUCCAUCCUUUUGUUUUCAGUCUAUGUGUAUCUUUAGAGGUUAGUUAAGUUUUUAAUGGCAUCAAGAUAAUAUGCAUUGAAUACAAACUGUAUUUUUCCUGAAAUAAUACAAGCCAGAUGCAGCUCCUAGUUACUCACACACUUUCAACUUACAUUUUUUCUUCUUUUUAAAAUUUCAUUUUAAUU
rnacentral:lncRNA from 1 species